rnacentral:rRNA from 1 species
CGGUCCUAAGGUAGCGAAAUUCCUUGUCGGGUAAGUUCCGACCCGCACGAAAGGUGUAACGAUUUGGGCACUGUCUCAACGAGGGACCCGGUGAAAUUGAAAUACCUGUGAAGAUGCAGGUUACCCGCGACUGGACAGAAAGACCCCAUGGAGCUUUACUGUAACCUGACAUUGGGUUUUGAUACAUUACGUACAGGAUAGGUGGGAGGCAUGGAAAGCUGGACGCUAGUCUGGCUGGAGCCGACGUUGGGAUACCACCCUUGAUGUAUUGAAAUUCUAACCGCGAGAGUAACGAAAUCCGGGACAGUGUCAGGCGGGCAGUUUGACUGGGGCGGUCGCCUCCGAAAGAGUAACGGAGGCGCCCAAAGGUUCCCUCAGCGCGGCCGGAAAUCGCGCGAAGAGUGUAAAGGCAGAAGGGAGCUUGACUGCGAGUCAAACACGACGAGCAGGUACGAAAGUAGGGCUUAGUGAUCCGGUGGUACCGAGUGGAAGGGCCAUCGCUCAACGGAUAAAAGCUACCCUGGGGAUAACAGGCUAAUCUCUCCCAAGAGUCCAUAUCGACGGGGAGGUUUGGCACCUCGAUGUCGGCUCAUCACAUCCUGGGGCUGAAGUCGGUCCCAAGGGUUGGGCUGUUCGCCCAUUAAAGUGGUACGUGAGCUGGGUUCAGAACGUCGUGAGACAGUUCGGUCCCUAUCCAUCGCGGGCGCAAGAGAUUUGAAGGGGGCUGCUCCUAGUACGAGAGGACCGGAGUGGACGAACCGCUGGUGUACCAAUUAUCCCGCCAGGGGUACAGUUGGGUAGCUACGUUCGGAAAGGAUAAACGCUGAAAGCAUCUAAGCGUGAAACCAGCCUUAAGAUGAGAUCUCUCAUAGAGCAAUCUAGUAAGACACCUUAAAGAAGAUGAGGUUGAUAGGUCGGGAGUGUAAGUACAGCAAUGUAUUGAGCGGACCGAUACUAAUAUGUCGAGGGCUUGACUUA